rnacentral:tRNA from 1 species
GAUUCGUAGCUCAGGUGGUUGAGCAUCCCGAUUCAAUCGGGAGGGUCCUGGGUUCGAGUCCCAGCGGGAUCACAA